rnacentral:lncRNA from 1 species
CUCUCUCUCUCUCUCACCGACUGACCCUCUCUCUCGCGAUUGUCCCUCUCUCGCUGACUGUCUCUCAUCAAGCCUCUGGCGCCGAAGAAAAAUUUUCAGUUACCUUCUUCCUCUCAUCAAAUCUCCGGCACCGGUUAAUGGGUUGACACAUUGAAACUUGAGUUCACCGAUUUUUGUAAGUCAAAUUUUAUUAAAACAAUCUGUUCAUUUCUUGGCGAAAAUAUAUGUAAUAAUGAUGUGUGACUUGAGUGUACCAGAAUCAUUAGUAGAAUGUGGAAUUGAAGAGAAACAUAUGUAAUAAGGGUUGAGUGUACAACUUCUUCUUGUUGAUUUGGAGUUUCUUUUCCUUGUCUACUUUUUACUAUUUCGAUUAUUGUAGUCCUUGCAUUUUCUUUUUGAUAUCCACGUGCUGUAUUUUUUGCAUUGCAGUUCUCGAAGGCUCCGUUCCUGCGUCUAUGACAAUUAAGAUAGGUCAUGUCCAGGAUGCCUUCCAUUCUCCUAGUUGCUGAAUUAUUUAACUUAAAUAGCUUCUUGGUUAUAAUAACUGGUUUAUAAUAUAUAAUCAGAUUGUAGGCAUCACCUUUUCGACUUCAUAUGUCACGGUUAACAAUCUAAUACAUAUUUGGAGCCUUGAAACUAUUAUUUGUAUCUUAUCACUUAUGGCAAUCUUACAUAUUAUCUGUGACAGAAUAGUGUAGACUGUAGCUGUGGGAUGACGGGAAAGCUUUUAACAAUAUUAGUGGAAUAAUUUUUGUUAUUUUCUAUUGUCAAGUUGAAUAUGGAAUUAUUCAAUCAUUAUUAGAAGAUUUUGAGAUCAAAUUUGUCUUUCUCUAAUUUCUUCUCUUGUACUUAGUAAAAUUAAAGAUAACUU